rnacentral:rRNA from 1 species
GACGAACGCUGGCGGCGUGCUUAACACAUGCAAGUCGAACGGAAAGGCCCUGCUUUUGUGGGGUGCUCGCGUGGCGAACGGGUGAGUAACACGUGAGUAACCUGCCCUUGACUUUGGGAUAACUUCAGGAAACUGGGGCUAAUACCGGCUAGGAGCUCGUGCUGCAUGGGGGGGGUUGGAAAGUUUGGGUGGAUGGGGAUGGACUCGCGGCUUAUUAGCUUGUGGGGGGGGUAGUGGCUUACCAAGGCUUUGACGGGUAGCCGGCCUGAGAGGGUGACCGGCCACAUGGGGACUGAGAUACGGCCCAGACUCCUACGGGAGGCAGCAGUGGGGAAUAUUGCACAAUGGGCGGAAGCCUGAUGCAGCAACGCCGCGUGCGGGAUGACGGCCUUCGGGUUGUAAACCGCUUUCGCCUGUGACGAAGCGUGAGUGACGGUAAUGGGUAAAGAAGCACCGGCUAACUACGUG